GACAGAGGGGGCAAGCGUUGCUCGGAAUUACUGGGCGUAAAGGGCGCGUAGGCGGGAUGGCAAGUCGGUCGUGAAAUCCUUCGGCUCAACCGAAGAACGUCGAUCGAUACUGCUGUUCUUGAGGGUUGCAGAGGAGACUGGAAUUCCCGGUGUAGCGGUGAAAUGCGCAGAUAUCAGGAGGAACACCGGUGGCGAAGGCGGGUCUCUGGGCCGAUACUGACGCUGAGGAGCGAAAGCGUGGGGAGCGAACAGG
rnacentral:rRNA from 1 species